AAUGGACGAAAGUCUGACGGAGCAACGCCGCGUGAGUGAUGAAGGAUUUCGGUUCGUAAAGCUCUGUUGUUAGGGAAGAAAAGUGCCGUUAAAUAGGCGGCACCUUGACGGUACCUAACCAGAAAGCCACGGCUAAUUACGUGCCAGCAGCCGCGGUAAUACGUAGGUGGCAAGCGUUGUCCGGAAUUAUUGGGCGUAAAGCGCGCGCAGGCGGUCUUUUAAGUCUGAUGUGAAAGCCCACGGCUCAACCGUGGAGGGCAUUGGAAACUGGGAGACUUGAGUACAGAAGAGGAGAGUGGAAUUCCACGUGUAGCGGUGAAAUGCGUAGAUAUGUGGAGGAACACCAGUGGCGAAGGCGACUCUCUGGUCUGUAACUGACGCUGAGGCGCGAAAGCGUGGGGAGCAAACAGGAUU
rnacentral:rRNA from 1 species